rnacentral:rRNA from 1 species
AACGAACGCUGGCGGCAUGCCUAACACAUGCAAGUCGAACGAAGCCUUCGGGCUUAGUGGCGCACGGGUGCGUAACGCGUGGGAAUCUGCCCUUGGGUUCGGAAUAACAGUUAGAAAUGACUGCUAAUACCGAAUGAUGUCUUCGGACCAAAGAUUUAUCGCCCAAGGAUGAGCCCGCGUCGGAUUAGCUAGUUGGUGAGGUAAAGGCUCACCAAGGCGACGAUCCGUAGCUGGUCUGAGAGGAUGAUCAGCCACACUGGGACUGAGAUACGGCCCAGACUCCUACGGGAGGCAGCAGUGGGGAAUAUUGGACAAUGGGGGCAACCCUGAUCCAGCAAUGCCGCGUGAGUGAUGAAGGCCUUAGGGUUGUAAAGCUCUUUUGCCAGGGAGAUGAUGACUGUACCUGGAGAAUAAGCCCCGGCUAACUUCGUGCCAGCAGCCGCGGUAAU